UUCCUGGUGGUCCAGUGGUUAAGACCCUGCACUUCCAAUGUAGGGGUUGUGGGUUCAAUCCCUGGUCAGGGAA
rnacentral:tRNA from 1 species